UAAACUCUAGUAGUAUUCAGGCAAACUCCCAUAAGAACGAAGAACAAAACUAAAAUCCAAACAAAACAAAAUAAAACAGGAUAAAAACUCAAAUAAUAAAAAAAAAACUCUGACCCUAGGGAUGUACUAUCGUUACUCAAACACAUGCAUUCAAUCUAUUAAUUCAAUUAUCAAUUUAAUCCAACCCUGAUGAAAGAUCACUAUAUUAUUCACAAGCUUCUCUAACGAACACCUAUGAACGUAGAUUAAUUUACCACUUUUCAC
rnacentral:lncRNA from 1 species